rnacentral:rRNA from 1 species
GGGCGCAAGCUUGGCGGCGGCCCCAGGAAGCAGGCGGUGGCGCGGUCCGUCAAGGCCGGGCUGCAGUUCCCCGUCGGCCGCAUCGGCCGCUUCCUCAAGAAGGGCCGCUACGCGCAGCGCGUCGGCAUGGGCGCCCCCGUCUACCUCGCCUCCGUCCUCGAGUACCUCGCCGCCGAGCUGCUCGAGCUCGCCGGCAACGCCGCCAAGGACAACAAGAAGUCCCGCAUCAUCCCGCGCCACCUGCUGCUCGCCAUCCGGAACGACCAGGAGCUCGGCAAGCUGCUCGCCGGCGUCACCAUCGCGCACGGCGGUGUGCUUCCCAACAUCAACCCCGUGCUGCUCCCCAAGAAGACGGCCGAGAAGGAGACCAAGAAGGCCGCCAAGUCCCCCAAGAAGGCUUAG